AUGAACGCUGGCGGCGUGCUUAACACAUGCAAGUCGAACGGGAAUUAUUUUAUUGAAACUUCGGUCGAUUUAAUUUAAUUCUAGUGGCGGACGGGUGAGUAACGCGUGGGUAACCUGCCUUAUACAGGGGGAUAACAGUCAGAAAUGGCUGCUAAUACCGCAUAAGCGCACAGAGCUGCAUGGCUCAGUGUGAAAAACUCCGGUGGUAUAAGAUGGACCCGCGUUGGAUUAGCUGGUUGGUGGGGUAACGGCCCACCAAGGCGACGAUCCAUAGCCGGCCUGAGAGGGUGAACGGCCACAUUGGGACUGAGACACGGCCCAGACUCCUACGGGAGGCAGCAGUGGGGAAUAUUGCACAAUGGGGGAAACCCUGAUGCAGCGACGCCGCGUGAAGGAAGAAGUAUCUCGGUAUGUAAACUUCUAUCAGCAGGGAAGAUAGUGACGGUACCUGACUAAGAAGCCCCGACUAACUACGUG
rnacentral:rRNA from 1 species